GGUUGCGAUCAUACCAGCACUAAUGCACCGGAUCUCAUCAGAACUCCGCAGCUAAGCGUGCUUGGGCGAGAGUAGUACUAGGAUGGGUGACCCCCUGGGAAGUCCUCGUGUUGCAACCC
rnacentral:rRNA from 1 species